UGAUUCCUCCAUGUCUUGGGGUAGAUCGUUAGAUGAUGCCUCACAGGGGUCGCUGGAUGGCUCCUCCACUUCCCGGAGUAGAUCA
rnacentral:pre_miRNA from 7 species